AAGGAAUAUUGCUCAAUGGGAGAAAUCCUGAAGCAGCAACGCCGCGUGGAGGAUGAAGGGUCUAUGACUUGUAAACUCCUGUAAAGAAGGAAAAAAUUCCCAUUAGAUGGGAGAUGAUGGUACUUCUGGAGUAAGCCCCGGCUAACUACGUGCCAGCAGCCGCGGUAAUACGUAGGGGGCAAGCGUUGUCCGGAUUUACUGGGUGUAAAGGGUGCUCAGGCGGAUUUGUAAGUCAGAGGUGAAAUCUUACAGCUUAACUGUGAAACUGCCUUUGAUACUGCAAGCCUAGAGUAUGGAAGAGAGUGAUGGAAUAUCUGGUGUAGCAGUGAAAUGCGUAGAUAUUAGAUAGAACACCAAUGGCGAAGGCAGUCACUUGGUCCAUUACUGACGCUAAAGCACGAAAGCGUGGGUAGCAAACA
rnacentral:rRNA from 1 species